rnacentral:rRNA from 1 species
UACGUAGGGAGCAAGCGUUGUCCGGAAUCAUUGGGCGUAAAGCGCGCGUAGGUGGCUUCGUAAGUCCGUUGUGAAAGUCAAAGGCUCAACCUUUGAAAGCCGAUGGAUACUGCGGAGCUAGAGUACGGAAGAGGCGAGUGGAAUUCCUGGUGUAGCGGUGGAAUGCGCAGAUAUCAGGAGGAACACCAAUAGCGAAGGCAGCUCGCUGGGACGUUACUGACGCUCAUGCACGAAAGCGUGGGGAGCAAACAGG